ensembl:lncRNA
AAGAACACAUCUCUAACAGAAUCUUGUUCACUCUUUAGAUUUGCUGUACCACACAAUAAAACAACUAGAUCAUGGGACAAAAGAAAGAGAUUAUUUAUACUGGAUCUGUGUCUGCAAGCUGCACUCCAUCAGAAAGAGACAAUAGAAGAAACUGUGAAGAAACUGCUAUCAUCUGUGGAUUAUGAAAAAUCUGAUUUCCUGCUGGAUCUGUACUCACAUGUGAAGGACUAUGACACUCAAACAGGCAGGAGUGUCCUUCCAGCAUUACAGCCAAUUUAUCAGUCAGCUCCUGCAGUCUGGAGCAUAAAGCUCUCAGAGAGAAAGAGCUCCAUCCUCCUAGAAGUGCUGAAACUCCAAACAGAGAAGAAACCAGUAGAGCUGAGAGACUGGACAGAUGAAGAGAGUGAAGUGAAGGGAUUCCUCCAGUGUCUGCCCUACAUCUCACAGCUGAGAUUUCAUUCAUUUGAUGGCAAUAAGAAGAACAUGUCUGUCAAAUUUCUGGUGAAUCUGAUUGUUUCAGCAUCAGAGUUUAAAACCACUGGAGAAAAUUACACCAAACUGUUCACAUCUGUGUGCAGCUACACAUCUUUCCCUUUCAGUGAAAACUGUACUAACCGUCACGCUCAUCAAUCUGAUUUUCUGCUGGAUCUGUGUUCACAUGUGAAGGACUAUGAGACUCAAACAGGCAGGAGUGUCCUUCCAGCAUUACAGCCAAUUUAUCAGUCAGCUCCUGCAGUCUGGAGCAUAGAUCUCUCAGAGAGAAAGAGCUCCAUCCUCCUAGAAGUGCUGAAACUCCAAACAGAGAAGAAACCAGUAGAGCUGAGAGACCGGACAGAUGAAGAGAGUGAAGUGAAGGGAUUCCUCCAGUGUCUGCCCUACAUCUCACAUCUGAGGUGAGUGAUGUUUUUCUUAAGCUUCACUAUGAUGACUGCGAUGUUUUUCAGUUGUGACACUUUAAUUUACUUUUGGGCAGUGCUUGAAGUGGGUCGGUACACAGUACAACUUCAGUAUUUUAGACUUUAGCUUACCGGCACGUUUUUGUGCGUAUCAGCACUUCUGACAUGCUGCUGGUACUCAGAGUCAAAGCAUCAGUGUCUGAGUGAUUAGAAAUUACACUAUAUAAAGCAAACUACCCAGGAGGGGGCACCGUGAUUUACUGAAUGACUGCUAGUGGAGUCAGUCUACCUGAGGAGUUUUCAGUGUGUGGGGCAUGAGAGCAGGUCAGGGAGGCGUGCAGAGUAGAAUAAUAAUUAAUUAUUUGUUUCAGUACAUUUUAAUGAAAACAAUUCCUUAAAAAUUAAAAGAAGCAGGUUUUUGCAAUCAAAUCAUUUUAAACUGGUACAUUUCUGGAGAGUUCUAAAGUGUUGUAGAAUAUAAGAUGGUCAGGGUUUAAGCUAUCAGUAUUAUAGUAACAGUCAGGUCAAAGCAGCCGGUUUAGUGAUUUUUUUUUUUUGGCAUCUCCCUUUGGUCCUAUUUGGUAUGACAGCUUGACUUGUGCUAAUUUAAUUAAAAGUGCUCUAAACAAUUCUUUCUUUCUUGUGGUAAAUUAUACAUACUUUGGGAAUUCUGGAGAUUUAUUUUUAUUUUUUUUUUGGUGGUGGUGGUGAGGAGUACCGGCACUACUUUUUUUCCCGCUUCAAGCACUGCAUUUGGGAUAUGAAUAAUUUUCUCAAAGAUUUUGUACACAAGAAUAUAUAGUCAGAUUUGUUUAAUCUUUUGCAUCUCAGUAAAUCCAAACCCUUGUAAGAAAUAAAUUGCUUGGUCAAUAAUCUCA